rnacentral:rRNA from 1 species
AAAUUGAAGAGUUUGAUCAUGGCUCAGAUUGAACGCUGGCGGCAGGCAUAACACAUGCAAGUCGAGCGGCAGCGGGAAAGUAGCUUGCUACUUUUGCCGGCGAGCGGCGGACGGGUGAGUAAUGCCUGGGGAUCUGCCCAGUCGAGGGGGAUAACAGUUGGAAACGACUGCUAAUACCGCAUACGCCCUGCGGGGGAAAGAAGGGGACCUUCGGGCCUUUCGCGAUUGGAUGAACCCAGGUGGGAUUAGCUAGUUGGUGGGGUAAUGGCUCACCAAGGCGACGAUCCCUAGCUGGUCUGAGAGGAUGAUCAGCCACACUGGAACUGAGACACGGUCCAGACUCCUACGGGAGGCAGCAGUGGGGAAUAUUGCACAAUGGGGGAAACCCUGAUGCAGCCAUGCCGCGUGUGUGAAGAAGG